UACGUAGGUGGCAAGCGUUGUCCGGAUUUACUGGGCGUAAAGAGCGCGCAGGCGGUCGUUCAAGUCGCGUGUGAAAGCCCCCGGCUCAACUGGGGAGGGUCACGCGAUACUGAUCGACUCGAAGGCAGGAGAGGGUAGUGGAAUUCCCGGUGUAGUGGUGAAAUGCGUAGAUAUCGGGAGGAACACCAGUGGCGAAGGCGGCCGACUGGGCCGACCCUGACGCUGAGGCGCGAAGGCGUGGGGAGCGAACGGG
rnacentral:rRNA from 1 species